GAGUUGGCAACGGUUAACCGUUGCCAAUUUAAAAAAAAAACCCCCGGGUUUUUGUAUACUACUGUAUACUCCCUCAUUGCUUGAACUCUCUGUUUUUGCUUUCACCUCCAAAAACGCGCGCCUUCCCUCAGCUCUCCCCUAACCAUUCCUCCAUUGAAGCUUCCAUUGAAGGGUCCAUUGAAGCUUUUGCCUCCUCACGCACGUAGUGGGUCUGGGUUUGUUCUUCUCCUCACGCGCACUUAGCUCUUCUCUUCUGCCUCCCUCCAUAUAUGCUUGCAUUAUUGAAGUAUGUAGCAGCUUAGACCUAGCUAGGUAAGUCGUAAUAGCGCUCCUCCAUUGUUAUGGUUUUUGAGGAAUUGGUCUUUAUUAAUAUUGACAAGUUUCUUGUAAUUGCUAGGGUUUGUCAAUAAUUGCUACUUAACUCCUCCAUUUAUACGCGCAAGGCUCAGCUCCACCUCCAUUGAACGCAUAAGGCUCCCCCUCCACAAAUGCUAAGAAAUUGGUUUCAAGGGCUUCUAGGGUAAGAUCAUCAGUUUGGAGAGUGGGCGGAAAACAUCCUGGUUACAAUAAAAAAGAUUAUCAGGAAUUUUUGGGCGAAGCAUAGACCUUGGCAUUGACCUUCUAUUUGAGAGUGUUGAGCCUUUAUAGGUACUCAGUUUUAACAUCUAAUGGCGGACGAUCAAUACCGUGUUCGAGUAGAGGAUGUUGAAUCUAAUGAUGAUGAUUCAUCUAAUGAUGGGGACCAGCUGUAUGAUGUGAACAAGGAACCUGUUAUAGGUGAGCCAGAAGAUCAGGCGCAAGAUGUAUUGGAGAGAAUGAUAGAUGAGUUUGAAAUUGCGGCUGAGCAAGCGCCUCCAAUCGAUAAUGCCAUUAUGGAGUCGUUUCGGGAGGAUCAAAGUGGAGGGGGGGUGCAGGCACCAGCGAAGAAAAAGAUGAGGGGUCCGACGACAGUUUUCAAGAAACCUGUCGGUCCUAUGGUCUUGGAGUAUGACAGGGUAGGCCAACCCUCAGGUAAAUGGCAACGUCAGUAUGCUGGUCAAGUUGGGAUUUGUGCGCGCAAAAUCCCCAUUACGCUUCGUAUGAGCGACGUACCUACAGGCUUGAUUGACACGUUUUGGAAUG